GGUUGACCUCGGAUCAGGGAGGGAUACCCGC
rnacentral:rRNA from 1 species